AAUCAGAGACACUAACUAACAAGAAUAUCUUAAGUAUUUGGCUUAAAAAAAAAAUAAUAAUAAUAAUAAUUUCAACCAAGUGGUCAUCGCUGUAAAGUGGAUUUAAAGUAAAAUACAGAGAGAAAAAAAACAGCAAAACUUUUAAAAAUUAAAAAGUGACCAUUCACAAUAUUUCUACAUUUUUCUGUGAUAGAAUCAUUAUGUAUAUUUAGCGUGUUGCCCAGUUGUAAUAAAAAUACAAGCAUGAACAUAAUCAAAUAUAGUCAGUAAUAUACGUUAUAUUGUAGGACAUAUAUUUCAGACUCUAAUUAUGAAUAUGCUUUUACCUCUAACAGAUCAGUUCUCAUUGGUCCUGAUGGUUGUGAGGGCCCGUCUCCGCUUAACCAGUCCGCACAAGAGAGAUGUGACAUCCAAUCACACGCUAAGAUUUCUGCAUUCUGGAGCUGUUAGGACACAAGCCACACCCAGUUAGAUGGAGGAGCGAGAGAGAAGCAGAAGUCGAUCUCCAGGCAGGGUCGGUCGGGUGGAGCAGGUGGUGGGGAAAUGGCUGCGCCGUUCUCGAGACUCUCUCAGCAGGUGGAGUAACCUCACACACACACACACAGAGACACAUAUAAUAUUAUAACCAGAGCAGAAAUGCAUUUCUUGAAGGAUAGAAAAAGUGAAAACGCCCUUCACAUUUGGAGCUCCAGAAGAUCACAGACAGUUCUUAUGAUGUUUAGAUGUAGCCACGGAAGACGGUUGACUUAGGCUCUGUCCCAGUUGGUGCCCUCAGCCUUUGUAGUCAUCUUUUGAUGUAGUGCACACUUUGAUGCUGCAGUGUCACAUAGACUGUGAACAACACACAGAGAAACCACCAAACCAGUCCUUCCGAACCAUGACGGAUCUCCCAUGUGUUUAACAGAGACUGUGUGGGUUUAAGCCAUCUUUUGGUUUUCUCCAAACCCAUAUAGAUAUAGGGAAAGAACACUAGUCAGAUCGUAGUACUAUUUUCCAUUAAUUAGGGUCGCAGGUUUUAUGGUUCCUGUAUAAGAUAUUGGCCUUGGUUUCCAGAUGGGCCCUACCAUAAAUUCCAGCUUUGCGAAGCUCGCAGGAUUCAGCAUUUGUUGAGAGUGGUGUAGUUAGACAUGUUGUUUGUGGGCUCUUUUUCUUCAGAAAAUACUUAAUAUCUGUAUCUACAUAAAUGUUUAGAUGGCAAAUAAUUCCUUGUUUUCUCAUGAGAACUGCUUUUGAGAUUUUCUCGUACUUCCAUCUGCUGUGGGCUUGUAGUUCAUUUGUCUUUCACCCGCUGGUAUAAACACAGUCGUCUCCUGCCAUGCAACCACACGUUCAUCAGGCAAUUAUCACCGCCAUGUGUUUUAGAGUCUGUCAGCAUACAGUGACGUCAUUUCAUGUGGUUUGAAUGUGAUAUUUUUGGAGAAAAUCCACAGUAGUUUAAUUAGUACUGUAGUUAUUUAUUUUAGGAUUUUCUGUUCCAGAAAAUGAUAGUUAAUGUUGUCACAUUGGAGUAAAACUUACUUUCUUUGCUCAAACAAGCCCCCCCCAAAAAGGUAGUUUUUGUACUUUCUGUGAUUUUUUUUUUUUUUUUUUUUAAAUAUAGGUUUCCCCCCAUUGUUUAUUUUCAAUUAGCACAGGUUUUAUAUUUCUUUCUGGAACUGACUGAUCAUAGGCCUCACCGAUCUGAGCUUUUGCACUUCAGUUUUGGAGUGAGCAAUGACAAAAUUAUUGAUGUUUCACUCAGAAACUGUUGCUACAGAGGUGCAUAAGCUCAGAUCAUGAGACCUACUAUAAAAGUAAACCAAAGAAUAAAAGAAAAUAAGUUGACAAAAAGAUUGAAUCCCAGAUUUGGUGAUAAUAUAGCAUAAUGAGGGGUUAAAAAAAAAAAAAAAGUCUGUAAUUUUUGACCAGGCACACCAAAUUAAGUAAAGGAUUUUUAGCACAACACAAGUGUUUAAAAUGAAAGCAAAAAGCCCCAUGAAGCAGUGAAUUUAUUGCUAAGGGGCGUUGUUAGCUACGCCGCAAAGCGGAGUGCCUAAAACCCCCUUAUUGCUUUUAUUUUACAUUUAAUUUACACUACUGUGCAAAAGUUUGGGAUCAGUAAGAUUUUAAUACUUUUAUUCAGCAAGACGGCAUUAAAUUAAUCAAAAGUUUGAUUCUGUGCUCGCUCUGUCUCUCAAAGGGAGCGUAUUUUAGGAGGCAGGAGGUCGUGCUCUGGGGAUUCGGGCCAGCAGAACUUCCCUGUGAGGGUGACAGUGGAGGUGAUCAGAGAUGCUGUCCUGGACUCCCAUGGAUUCACUCUCUCAUCACAGCACCCCCUGCUGGUCAGGGACGUCACUCCAGGUACACACACACACACACACACUUCACGUGAAGUUUGGCUUAGGGGAUGCACUAGAGCAGGUUGCUUUUAAACACAGAUUGUGAUCUAAGUGAAGCCUGGUUUGGAUACUGUCCUGGCUGUGCGUGAGAAAAUAUGCCCAGAGGAAAGAAACAACACAAAUGAUAUCCUGAUUAGAUCUCUUAUAUUUCUCAGAGACACCAAUAAGGUUAAAUGGAGACUUCUAAGAAGCACUGUCCUGCUUCUCAGAUGUUUAUCCUGAGAAAAGUACCCUGAUUUAAGAGCUUUUCCUCUGGAUGUUUGUGUCUUGAAAUCUCUGCAUCAGACUGAAUUUCCACCCUCUGUGCUGCUUUGACAGAGAUGGUGAAACUGUGAGAAAGGACGUGACACUUGAGCUGGUGUUUGUGAGGUGGCCACCUGCUCCUCUGUCAUUUAUUUAAUUCAUUACGAUGCAGGUGCACAAGCUCCUUCACACAUAAUAUCGGUCUCUCACACACAAACACACACUGACACAAGCUAGUUAUAUUUAUUGUCCUUUUGAACCAGCAGUUACUGACACACAAUCUCACACAAUCACGACACAUCUAGUUAGAAGUCCACAUAAAAACCUAACUAGAUAGCAUUCAAGACAACAUAGUCAUAUAUCUAUGCAUAUAUCCUUGAUAAAAGUCAGUCCCAAAAUCCUC
ensembl:lncRNA